UAUUAGUGUCCUUCUUAGAGCUCCAGAGAGCUCUUGCUCUCCCUCCCUCUGCAGGUACAAUGCAGAAUGGCCAUGUGAAGACACAGCAAGAAGUUAAGCUGGCAGUCUACAAGGAAGGCAGAAGCAGGAACUCACCAGAAACCAACCUUGCCAGAACCUUGAUCUCAACUUUCAGCCUCCAGAACUGAGGAAAUUUAUUUUUGUUGCUUAAGCCACCCAGCCAGUGGUUUGUUAUGGCAGACUAACAUGGCCGCUGUUUUCACAACUAUGCUUAUAUAUGCAGUCUGUUUAUAGAAUUUUCAAGAACUGUGCAGGGGCAGCAAGAAGGGAACUGUGUGCCAUAGAUCCCUGUGUACUUGCUCCUUUUUGUAUACUUCAUGUGAUGGUUUCACAAGUUCUGAUACUUCUCCUUUCAAAACAGAGUCUAAUUCUCUUCCUCUUGAGUGUGGGCUGGAUGUGGGUAUAUGGUUCUAUUGGACAGACUGUGGAGAAAGCCAUGGUGCAAGACUUCUGGAGGAAGGUCAUAAAAGACAUGUGGUCUCCACCUCCAGAAACACAAAGCGGCUCCAGCAGCCUCACAGACACCCACCCAGCGAGGAAAAGAGGCUUCCUGCCAGCAGCUGCCCAUUUCACCCCUGCAAGCAAGGUGACAGAAUGAACCAGCUCCUCCCACCCUGGUCUAGCUUUCAAAUGAGACAGCCUGCACUGACAGCAUGAUUGAGUCCUCAUGAGCAAUCUGGAGCCAGAUGCACCAACUUAGUUACUCCGAAGUUCUUACCCACGGAAAGUGUGAGAUAAUGGAUAUCUAUUGUUUUGCCACUAAGUUGUGCGGUAAAUUCUUAAGGUAGAAACAGAUAAAUACACUGUAUAGGUAUUAUCCAUUAAAUAUCUUAAAUAAUUUCUGCCAGCCAUUAAGAAACUCCUAGAUUUGUAAAAUUUGGGGGCUGAAAGGACGCCUGGGUCACUCAAGCCACUAGGGUGGCAGUCAAGGUAACCAAGUCCAUAGUAUGACCAUGUCCAGGUGGGGCAGGUUUCAGAGUGAGGUUUAAUUCUGUGUGCAGGACAGCCUAGGUAGCUCAGCGGUUUAGCGCCACCUUCAGCUCAGGGCAUGAUCCUGGAGAUCCGGCAUCAAGUCCCACAUCAGGCUCCCUGCAUGGAGCCUGCUUCUCCCUCUGCCUGUGUCUCUGCCUCUCUCUCUCUCUCUCUCUCUGUGUCUCUCAUGAAUAAAUAAGUUAAAUCUUUAAAAACA
ensembl:lncRNA